rnacentral:rRNA from 1 species
CCUACGGGAGGCUGCAGUGGGGAAUCUUGCACAAUGGGCGAAACCCUGAUGCAGCGACGCCGCGUGAGUGAAGAAGUACUUCGUUAUGUAAAGCUCUAUCAGCAGGGAAGAAAAUGACGGUACCUGAGUAAGAAGCCCUCGCUAACGACGUGCCAGCAGCCGCGGGAAUACGUAGGGGGCAAGCGUUAUCCGGAUUUACUGGGUGGAAAGGGAGCGUAGACGGCCGUGCAAGUCUGGAGUGAAAGGCGGGGGCUCAACCCCCGGAGUGCUCUGGAAACUGUACGGCUGGAGUGCAGGAGAGGGAAGUGGAAUUCCUAGUGUAGCGGUGAAAUGCGUAGAUAUUAGGAGGAACACCAGUGGCGAAGGCGGCUUACUGGACUGUAACUGACGUUGAGGCUCGAAAGCGUGGGGAGCAAACAGGAUUAGAUACCCCGGUAGUC